rnacentral:rRNA from 1 species
UGGGGAAUAUUGGGCAAUGGGCGCAAGCCUGACCCAGCAACGCCGCGUGAGGGAAGAAGGCCUUCGGGUUGUAAACCUCUGUCCUUAGGGACGAAAAAAAUGACGGUACCUAAGGAGGAAGCUCCGGCUAACUACGUGCCAGCAGCCGCGGUAAUACGUAGGGAGCAAGCGUUGUUCGGAAUUACUGGGCGUAAAGGGUGCGUAGGUGGCCAUGCAAGUCAGAUGUGAAAUCCCCGGGCUUAACUCGGGUGCUGCAUUUGAAACUGCGUGGCUUGAGUGCAGGAGAGGAAAGCGGAAUUCCUAGUGUAGCGGUGAAAUGCGUAGAUAUUAGGAGGAACACCAGUGGCGAAGGCGGCUUUCUGGACUGUAACUGACACUGAGGCACGAAAGCGUGGGGAGCAAACA